UACGGGGGGGGCAAGCGUUGUUCGGAAUUACUGGGCGUAAAGGGUUCGUAGGCGGCUUGCUAAGUCAGACGUGAAAUCCCUCAGCUUAACUGGGGAACUGCGUCUGAUACUGGCGAGCUUGAGUGCGGGAGAGGAACGCGGAAUUCCAGGUGUAGCGGUGAAAUGCGUAGAUAUCUGGAGGAACACCGGUGGCGAAGGCGGCGUUCUGGACUGCAACUGACGCUGAUGAACGAAAGCCAGGGGAGCAAACGGG
rnacentral:rRNA from 1 species